rnacentral:rRNA from 1 species
GAUGAACGCUAGCGGGAGGCUUAAUACAUGCAAGUCGAGCGAGAAGGUUUUAGCUUGCUAAAACUGGACAGCGGCGCACGGGUGAGUAACGCGUACGCAAUCUACCUUAUACAGAGGGAUAGCCCUGGGAAACUGGGAUUAAUACCUCAUGGUCUCUAUCUGUCGCAUGGCAGUAAGAGUAAAGUUCCGACGGUAUAAGAUGAGCGUGCGUGCUAUUAGCUAGUUGGUGAGGUAACGGCUCACCAAGGCGAUGAUAGCUAGGGGGCUGAGAGCGUGAUCCCCCACACGGGUACUGAGACACGGACCCGAUCCUACGGGA